GGGUAUGUAGCUCAGUGGUAGAGCAUGUGCAAGGUCCUGGGUUCAAGCCCCAGUAUCCCCA
rnacentral:tRNA from 1 species